ensembl:lncRNA
UCCAAUCCAAGCCAAGGGGAAGAAAGACAGACAGAUCUGUUGAAUACCUCUAGUGUUGUGAUGGGUCGGGUCUACUUGCCAAUCCAAGCCAAGGGGAAGAAAGACAGACAGAUCUGUUGAAUACCUCUAGUGUUGUGAUGGGUCGGGUCUACUUGCCAAUCCAAGCCAAGGGGAAGAAAGACAGACAGAUCUGUUGAAUACCUCUAGUGUUGUGAUGGGUCGGGUCUGCUUGCCAAUCCAAGCCAAGGGAAAGAACCAAUCUGGAAUUAAGUGUUAUUUUCUUUCAAAUCUCUUUCUUCUUCACUUAAAGAAAGAUAAAGGUUUGGAUCUUUUGCACAACAAUGAACGCAUGUGCCCCUCCCAGCCCCCCCAGCCCCCACCACCACCGAACGACCUGUAAAAAGAGUUUCUUAUUUUACUUAGUAUUUUUCCAAUGGGAAUAAUAUUUUAAAAAAAAUAAACUAAGGUAACAUAUGUGUAGAAUAUAUUGAAUAUAAAUAUUCUCUAGAACAUGAUGAUGCCUCUAGAUCCUGUUGAUGCCAGUAUAUUGAUGUGUUUAGUGUCUCUGUGUGCACCAUCAUUAACUAGCUAGCUUCCUAGACAGAAGUUCAAACUGUCACCUUGCUGAUGACGCUACAGUACGUCCCAAAGGACACCCUAUUUCAGAUCUAGUGUGAUACUUUUGACCAAGGCCUAUAGGACCUGCGGAAGACUAGUGCGGGAGGUGUACUUGUACAUCAAGCUGCCUUAAGCUAAAGAAACAGGAGAUGGGCUCCUGCCUUAUGGGCUUUUCUGGCUCAGACAAGGCUACUUACUUAUGUAGGGUCCUGGUCCAAAGUGUUGCACUAUAUAGGGAAAGGGCCCUGGUCCAAAGUAGUGCACUAUAUAGGGAAAGGGAAAGGGUCCUGGUCCAAAGUAGUGCACUAUAUAGGGAAAGGGCCCUGGUCCAAAGUAGUGCACUAUAUAGGGAAAGGGUCCUGGUCCAAAGUAGUGCACUAUAUAGGGAAAGGGCCCUGGUCCAAAGUAGUGCACUAUAUAGGGAAUAGGGCCCUGGUCCAAAGUAGUGCACUAUAUAGGGAAUAGGGCCCUGGGCCAAAGUAGUGCACUAUAUAGGGAAUAGGGCCCUGGGCCAAAGUAGUGCACUAUAUAGGGAAUAGGGUCCUGGUCCAAAGUAGUGCACUAUAUAGGGAAUAGGGUCCUGGUCCAAAGUAGUGCACUAUAUAGGGAAUAGGGCCCUGGGCCAAAGUAG